AAAUUGAAGAGUUUGAUCAUGGCUCAGAUUGAACGCUGGCGGCAGGCCUAACACAUGCAAGUCGAACGGUAACAGGAAGAAGCUUGCUUCUUUGCUGACGAG
rnacentral:rRNA from 1 species